UACGUAGGUGGCGAGCGUUGUCCGGAUUUACUGGGCGUAAAGAGCGCGCAGGCGGCUGGGCAAGUCCGAUGUGAAAGCUUCCGGCUUAACUGGAAAAUUGCAUCGGAAACUGCUCGGCUUGAAGGUGGGAGAGGGUAGCGGAAUUCCCGGUGUAGUGGUGAAAUGCGUAGAUAUCGGGAGGACCACCAGUGGCGAAGGCGGCUACCUGGCCCACUCUUGACGCUGAGGCGCGAAAGCUAGGGGAGCAAACGGG
rnacentral:rRNA from 1 species